CCAAGCUGCUGCCUGGAGACUGUUACCAUAGAGAUGUCAGACUCCGGAACUGGCAAAUACACUCUGUCCCAGAGCUCACCAAUUUGAUAACAUCUUUUUGAACCUGACUUUUAGAGACUUGUGGGAGGAAGAAGCCAGAAGAGAUUGUCUAUCUUUUGUGCAUGCUGCCUCUUGACCUAUGACCACGUAACUACCUUCCCCUCUUCCUUCUAGACUCUGGAGGGCUACUUUUAUUGGAUGGUGAUAUUUAAAAAUUUAUGGGAUGUUCCCUGUUAGCUCCACUAGACAUCCUGCUCAGUUAGGGGAGGAAGAGACAAGAAAAGACAGAGGUGGGAUCCUCUUAACUGCUAGCCAAAAAAGCAGCCAAUGCUUUUAUGUUGUCUGUCUACCAAAUGGAUCCCCCCUUUGUAUUAUCAUGUAUCAUAAUUAUAUAAAAAAAACCCGACAGCUGCUUAAACCUUUUUUUAAUGUGUAAUAGUGGAAUAGGACUGGCCAAAAAGCUCAGUCCUUACUGGCAUGCAUAGCAUUAUCAGUUGCUGCUCUCCCCUCCCAUCUCCCCCUGCCCUCCAGGAAUCGUAGCAACUUGUCCUCCAAUGCCAACCAAGCUAGAGCUAAGAGAUUUGUUCAGGCUGGCUAAUGCCUUUUGGGAGCACCUCAGUUCUGGUUUCACAGUAAUCAAAAAAGUUUCUCUUUACCAACAUGGUUAGCAAUCUCUGACCAGUUCUCUACAAUGUCCAUGCCUGCUCUAAUGUUCCGUCAGCUGUUUAUGAUACACAUGCUCAUGAGGACUAGGCUCAUUGGUCAGUCCCAGCCUUCCAUUACAUAUAUUAAUGCCAGAAUGGAUAGAGAUUUGAGAAGAGGCUUGUUUAAUACCUUUAAUGGGAUGAAUGACAUUAUCUCUGAUACAGAGGCAAUGAAUUUGAAGACAGAAGGAGAAGGGUUGACACUGAUCUCUUUUGGAUUUCCCACAUGCAGGAGAAACAUUACAAUCACAUCCCCAAGCAAGUUUCCUAUAAAUCAUUGAAGGAAGCAUGAGAUUAUGAAUUUAUCUUCUCUCUAACUUUUAUGGCCUAAGAAGAAACAUUACCCGAAGUGUGUGUAAAGUCAUUGAAUUCUAGCUUGCCUUGUCCAGAGGAUAUAUUGUUUUUAUUAUUAACAUGAUGUACUAAAUUAGAUCUCUUUGAGAUAAAAACAUAAGUGACACUGAAUGAGUAAUAAAUUAUUUCUCUAUCACUCUGACA
rnacentral:lncRNA from 1 species